rnacentral:lncRNA from 10 species
AUCCUGGGUGUGUCAGUGAGGUUGUUGCCCAAAAGAGAUUAACAUUUGAGUCAGUGGGCUGGGGAAGGCAGAUCAACCCUUAAUCUGGUGGGCACAAUCUAAUCAGCUUUCAGCAAAUAUAAAGCAGGCAGAAAAACGUGAAAAGGCAAGAGGGGCCUAGCCUCCCAGCCUACAUCUUUCUCCCUUGCUGGAUGCUUCCUGCCCUCAAAAGUCUGACUCCAAGUCCUUCGGUUUUGGAACUUGGACUGGCUCUCCUUCCUCCUCAGAUUGCAGACAGCCUAUUGUGGGACCUUGUGAUCAUAUGCUGUCAUAUCUGUGUGAGAACCACAGAAUUGCAGCAACCACUCUAGUAUCAGGAAGAGAAUUAAAGAGCCAUGCUCAAGAUGGCAAAGAGGAAAAAGGAGCAAUCAUUGUUCAAUAACCCAAUGAUAUUGCCAAUUCACUGAAUUAAUAAAACCUGGAGCCACACCUACUCCUUUUUUUUUCUUUUUCUUUUUUUUUAAAUUAUUACUAUCCUUUAAGUUUUAGGGUACAUGUGCACAAUGUGCAGGUUUGUUACAUAUGUAUACAUGUGCCAUGUUGGUGUGCUGCACCCAUUAACUCCUCAUUUAGCAUUAGGUAUAUCUCCUAAUGCUAUCCCUCCCGCCUCCCCCCACCCUACAACAGGCCCCGAUGUGUGAUGUUCCC